rnacentral:sRNA from 5 species
AUGUACCGACGUACACUCCGGUUCCUCCGCGCCGUCCGCACCCACCUGACGGCUGCUCGCUACGUUUUGUUAGCC